UAGGCUUUUAAUAUGACGGUCGGAAGUCCGUGCGUGCGUGCGUGCGUCGGUCGGUCCGUGCGUGCGUGCGUCCGUCUGUCCGUCCAUCAGACACAAAGACCUAGGCGCCGCAGAAUGGAGUAACCAUGGAGUGAAGAGUCCCAGCACUAGUCUCCCAAGUCUUUGAGGUCCAAAAAAUACGUUUUGCCCAAGUUUGACUUGACCGUAAACGCACCGCAGACCUACAGCGUUGCAAUUAUGGGACUGAAAGUUGAGUCUUGUGCCAAAUGAAUGCCACUCUUACUGUUGAUGCGUCAGUGUUUUUCAACACCAAAUUUGAGGACCAAAUGCGAGACACAU